UUAAAUAUUUAGCAGAAGAUGUUUUAUUGAUAAUAUAGUUAUUAAAAGGGGGAGUAUUACAGUACACACUCUUCAACUCAACUCAUGUAACGACAACAUACUUGAGCACCACACUGGAAUUAUCAUAAACCAAGCCAAAUUAAGGCAUGCACACUCAUUUAUCCGGCCGGAUCAAGAAAACAAAACAAACUUUAUGGCAUAAGCCAUGCACACACUAUGGGAUGCGAUUUUACUUAAUUAGCAAGGAGGUAAGCCUCAACGGCCUUGAAUAUGAGCCCUGCCUUCUCGGUGGCAUCCUUAAUGUUCUCUUCUGGGAUCACGGCGUCGCCUAUGGUGUUGUAAAUGGUGGUGUUCUUAACAAUGGACCCUCCAUCCGGAGUAGGCACAAUAGUGAAAUGAUUAACGAUGGAUUCGAUUAUGUCCAACAGGAUAUCGCCUCCGAUGAUGGAGUAAGUGUAGGUCAACGCGUCCUUGUCAAUUGCAUCUACCCGUUGCUUCAU
rnacentral:lncRNA from 1 species